UGAAGGACGUGAUAAGCUGCGAUAAGCUUCGGGGAGUUGCACGUAAACUUUGAUCCGAAGAUUUCCGAAUGAGGAAACUCACUUAGAGUAAUGUCUAAGUAUCAUUAAGUGAAUACAUAGCUUAAUGAGGGGAACUCAGGGAACUGAAACAUCUAAGUACCUGAAGGAAGAGAAAGAAAUUCGAUUCCGUAAGUAGCGGCGAGCGAACGCGGAUUAGCCCAAACCAAUAAAGUUUUCUUUAUUGGGGUUGCGGACAUAUCAUAACGAAGAGGUAUCGUAAUUGAAGAGGUUUGGAAAGACCCACCACAGAAGGUAAUAGUCCUGUAUGUUAAACGAGAAGACUUCAGAUAUGAUCCAGAGUACCACGGGACACGUGAAACCCUGUGGGAAGCAGGAGGGACCACCCUCCAAGGCUAAAUACUACCUAGUGACCGAUAGCGUAUAGUACCGUGAGGGAAAGGUGAAAAGAACCCCGGGAGGGGAGUGAAAUAGAACCUGAAACCCUGCACUUACAAGCUGUGGAAGCACAUUUCUUGUGUGACCGCGUACUUUUUGUAGAACGGGCCAACGAGUUACGUUAAGUAGCAAGGUUAAGCACUUAAGGUGUGGAGCCGUAGCGAAAGCGAGUUUUAACUGAGCGUUCAGUUACUUGACGUAGACCCGAAACCGGGCGACCUACCCAUGAGCAGGAUGAAGCGAAAGUAAAAUUUCGUGGAGGUCCGAACCCACGAGCGUUGAAAAGCUCGGGGAUGACUUGUGGGUAGCGGUGAAAUUCCAAUCGAGCCCGGAGAUAGCUGGUUCUCCCCGAAAUAGCUUUAGGGCUAGCCUCAAGGUGAGAGAUACGGAGGUAGAGCACUGAAUGUCCUAGGGGGUAUUGCACCUACCGAAGACUAUCAAACUCCGAAUGCCGUCAUCUUAUACUUGGGAGUCAGACUGUGGGUGAUAAGAUUCAUAGUCGAAAGGGCAACAGCCCAGAUCGUCAGCUAAGGUCCCUAAAUGUAAGUUAAGUGGUAAAGGAUGUGGGAUUGCACAGACAACCAGGAUGUUGGCUUAGAAGCAGCCACUCAUUCAAAGAGUGCGUAAUAGCUCACUGGUCGAGUGAUCCUGCGCCGAAGAUUUCCGGGGCUAAAACUUACUACCGAAGCUACGGCAUCAGUAAUGAUGGGUAGGGGAGCUUCCCAUACGGGUUGAAGCAUGACCGUAAGGACAUGUGGACAGUAUGGGAGUGAGAAUGUUGGCAUGAGUAGCGAGAUGUGGGUGAGAAUCCCACAGGCCGUAAACCCAAGGUUUCCAGGGGAAGGUUCGUCCGCCCUGGGUUAGUCGGGACCUAAGCUGAGGCCGAAAGGCGUAGGUGAUGGACAACAGGUUGAUAUUCCUGUACUACCGAUAACCAUUUGAGAGAAGGGAUGACACAGUAGGAUAAGCUAAGCACACUGUUGGUUAUGUGUGCCCAAGCAUUGAGGCAGUCAAAGUAGGCAAAUCCGCUUUGAUAAUGCUGGGAUGUGAUGGGGAGCGAAAUUUAGUAGCGAAGUAGCUGAUUUCACACUGUCAAGAAAAGUCUCUAUCGAGGUUAAAGGUACCCGUACCGCAAACCGACACAGGUGGGUGAGGAGAGUAUCCUAAGGCCAGCGAGAGAACUGUUGUUAAGGAACUCGGCAAAAUGACCCCGUAACUUAGGGAUAAGGGGUGCCACCAUCAGGUGGCCGCAGAGAAUAGGCCCAAGCGACUGUUUACCAAAAACAUAGGUUUCUGCUAAGUCGCAAGACGAUGUAUAGGAGCUGACGCCUGCCCGGUGCUGGAAGGUUAAGGGGAUCUGUUAGAGCAAUCGAAGCAGUGAACUUAAGCCCCAGUAAACGGCGGCCGUAACUAUAACGGUCCUAAGGUAGCGAAAUUCCUUGUCGGGUAAGUUCCGACCCGCACGAAAGGCGUAACGAUUUGGGCACUGUCUCAACAACAGACUCGGUGAAAUUGUAAUUCCGGUGAAGAUGCCGGAUACCUGCGACAGGACGGAAAGACCCCAUGGAGCUUUACUGUAGCUUGACAUUGGGUCUUGGUACUACAUGUACAGGAUAGGUGGGAGGCUUUGAAACCAGGACGCCAGUUUUGGCGGAGCCAUCCUUGGGAUACCACCCUUGUAGUACUGGGACUCUAACCAUAGGCCAUGAAUCUGGUCUUGGGACACUGUCAGGUGGGCAGUUUGACUGGGGCGGUCGCCUCCCAAAAGGUAACGGAGGCGCUCAAAGGUUCUCUCAGUACGGUCGGAAAUCGUACGUAGAGUGUAAAGGCAAAAGAGAGCUUGAUUGCAAGACAUACAGGUCGAGCAAGGAUGAAAAUCGGACUUAGUGAUCCGGUGGUUCUGCGUGGAAGGGCCAUCGCUCAACGGAUAAAAGCUACCCUGGGGAUAACAGGCUUAUCUCCCCCAAGAGUCCACAUCGACGGGGAGGUUUGGCACCUCGAUGUCGGCUCAUCACAUCCUGGGGCUGUAGUAGGUCCCAAGGGUUGGGCUGUUCGCCCAUUAAAGUGGUACGCGAGCUGGGUUCAGAACGUCGUGAGACAGUUCGGUCCCUAUCCGUCGCAGGCGUAGGAAAUUUGAGAAGACCUGUCCUUAGUACGAGAGGACCGGGAUGGACGUACCUCUGGUGUACCAGUUGUUCUGCCAAGGGCAUGGCUGGGUAGCUAUGUACGGAAUGGAUAAGCGCUGAAAGCAUCUAAGCGCGAAGCCAACUUCAAGAUAAGAUUUCCCACCGCAAGGGUAAGACCCCAGAAAGACUAUCUGGUUGAUAGGUCGAAGGUGUAAGUGCAGCAAUGUAUUUAGCUUAUCGAUACUAAUAGGUCGAGGACUUGACCAAUAUUAUUUGAUGUUCAUUCAUUAAGAUAUAUGUGCAGCUUUUAGAGU
rnacentral:rRNA from 1 species